CCUACGCGUGUCAGCAGUGGGGAAUAUUGCGCAAUGGGGGAAACCCUGAUGCAGCGACGCCGCGUGUGUGAAGAAAGAAUUCGUUAUGUAAAGCUCUAUCAGCAGGUAAUAAAAUGACGGUACCUAAGUAAUAAGCCCCGGCUAACUACGUGCCAGCAGCCGCGUUAAUACGUAGGGUGCAAGCGUUAUCCGGAUUUACUGGUUGUAAAGGGAGCGUAGACGGCAGGGCAAGUAGGUCGUGAAAGCCGUGGGCUCAACCCCGGGACUGCACUUGAAACUUGCAGGCUGGAGUGCAGGAGAGGUAGGUAGAAUUCCAGGUGUAGCGGUGAAAUGCGUAGAGAUCAGGAGGAACACCAGUGGCGAAGGCGGCUCACUGGACUGUAACUGACGUUGAGGCUCGAAAGCGUGGGGAGCAAACAGGAUUAGAUACCCGUGUAGUC
rnacentral:rRNA from 1 species